rnacentral:rRNA from 1 species
AACGAACGCAGGCGGCAGGCUUAACACAUGCAAGUCGAACGGUCUCUUCGGAGGCAGUGGCAGACGGGUGAGUAACGCGUGGGAAUCUACCCAGUUCUACGGAACAACAGUUGGAAACGACUGCUAAUACCGUAUACGCCCUACGGGGGAAAGAUUUAUCGGAAUUGGAUGAGCCCGCGUAAGAUUAGCUAGUUGGUGGGGUAAUGGCCUACCAAGGCGACGAUCUUUAGCUGGUCUGAGAGGAUGAUCAGCCACACUGGGACUGAGACACGGCCCAGACUCCUACGGGAGGCAGCAGUGGGGAAUAUUGGACAAUGGGCGCAAGCCUGAUCCAGCCAUGCCGCGUGAGUGAUGAAGGCCUUAGGGUUGUAAAGCUCUUUCAGUGGGGACGAUAAUGACGGUACCCACAGAAGAAGCCCCGGCUAACUUCGUGCCAGCCGCCGCAGUAAUAC